rnacentral:rRNA from 1 species
CCUGGAGGCAGCAGUGGGGAAUAUUGGGCAAUGGAGGAAACUCUGACCCAGCGACGCCGCGUGCGGGAUGAAGGCCUUCGGGUUGUAAACCGCUUUCAGUAGGGAAGAAGCGAAAGUGACGGUACCUACAAAAGAAGCACCGGCUAACUAUGUGCCAGCAGCCGCGGUAAUACAUAGGGUGCAAGCGUUGUCCGGAAUUAUUGGGCGUAAAGAGCUCGUAGGUCGUUUGUUACGUCGGAUGUGAAAACCUGAGGCUCAACCUCAGGCCUGCAUUCGAUACGGGCAAACUAGAGUUUGGUAGGGGAGACUGGAAUUCCUGGUGUAGCGGUGGAAUGCGCAGAUAUCAGGAGGAACACCAAUGGCGAAGGCAGGUCUCUGGGCCAAUACUGACACUGAGGAGCGAAAGUCUGGGGAGCGAACAGGAUUAGAUACCCUGGUAGUCCAGACCGUAAACGGUGGGCACUAGUUGUGGGAACCUUCCACGGUUUCUGCGACGCAGCUAACGCAUUAAGUGCCCCGCCUGGGGAGUACGAUCGCAAGAUUAAAACUCAAAGGAAUUGACGG